AGGGGACGUUGGUGAAGCCUCAGUGGGCCCACCAGUACGCCUGCUUGAGGGGGCGUGGCCUGGGCGUGAACAACGCGCUAGUGGGCGUGGCCUGGGUGCUUGGAGCAUUUGCUUUAGGAAGUGGCCACCCAAAACCACAAUGAGGAAGCAGGAGGAGUACCGGAGCCAAAACUGGUACCAGGCACUCUGAUAUGGGAGGCAGGUGUCCCAAGCAGUGACUCAACAUCAUGCUCUGAUGCAGCUGCUUCUGAAACACAGAGAUGAGCCACCUUCAGGUUUGCUGUGAGGGAAUUGGUGUGAACCCCUGAUGAUAUUUUAUGGAGCUGACUUUUCUCCAGGAUCAAACAAGACUAUAACUUUGUUAACUGAUCACAGACUCACCUGGCAUAGGUAAGGCCCCGAAUGUCCCAGCCAACAGCACAGUGUGCUCAGGGUUUCUUCCCAGAGGAGUCUGCUCAGGAAUUAGAGUUUGGGUUCUAAGAAGUUAUUCAGAUUAAAAAAGAACAUUUUAAUUUUUCUCUUGGUGAUGUAUUGUGGACUCCUUAAGAGGAAUUAUGUUAGGGGUUUUUUUGAGUAUAGAUCUUCUUGCCUUUGUCAAUUAGUUUCUUUUUUUUCCAAAAUAAAAUAUUAUCAAUUCCCCCUUUACCUCCUCUCCUCCUCAGUCAUCAAGCAACAUCUUAUGACUCUUGCAUGGGACAAUUUGUCUGUCUUGUAAUGCAGACUUUUGUUUUGGAGCCAAGACAUUCUGAUUGUAUAGCGUUUGAGGGUCAGUAUGUUGGAACAAAGCAUCCUUUCUCCAUAGUCAGCAAGUAUCUGUGAAGUCUGAGUCUCAGUGAUGAGAACCUGAGGACCCAACAGCCUGGUGGCACACCAAGCAAGCAUGUGCAGGAGGCAGCCAUGGAAAGCCCUUCUCGCUUGUCCACAGAAUGUUUUUCUCAGCUCAGCCAAGUUAACAUCAGCAAGAGAUAUUUUUGAAGAAUCUUGUGGCCUUCAAAUUUUAGAACCACUUAGGGGUGAUUUCUUCCCCGUGCUAAUUCUACUUCAUCAGACUUCUGUUCUUUGAACUGUACACUUUGAAAUAAUUGAGUUUUCUGGGGCAUUUAAUUUUCUUUGUUAAGUGUUUCUCUUCACUGCAGUAAUUUUCUCAUCUGUUACAUACACACAUUUUAAAACAAGGAAUUCCUCAUUCUCCCAGACUCACUGCUGUAUUGUGGCUGCUCUCGGCAGGAUUACAUAAAAUGGAAUUAGGUACUCAGCCAAUCUUACUGUUAAUUGAGGGUGAUGUUAAGACUACUGGUUUCAUUCGAGCAGGAUCCCAGUGCAAGCCUGGUACAGCAACGCAAGAGGCUUACUUUAGACCCAAGGCUGAAACCAUGAUCCUGAAAAAUAAACAACAACAAAACUCUUGGGAGGUUGGUGAGAGAGGAAAGAGGCAAUUUCUCCCCAUUUCACACAUCCACUAUGUUCUCUGCUUGCAGCUUUCUCAAAUGCUGCCUGUCCUUGAUUUCCUUUCUUCUGCUCCUUUUUUUGUUUGUUUCUGAGAUUGAAAUACAGACUCCUUCUGCUUCCCAGGAUAUUUUUCUCAUUAAAUGUGUUGCACACUCCUAAGGAAUUAUUUUUUAAAAAUCCAGAGUGUAACAGAUCCUAUUGACCCCAGCACCUAUC